CGGGGGGGGCAAGCGUUGUUCGGAAUUACUGGGCGUAAAGGGCGUGUAGGUGGCCAACUAAGUCCGACGUGAAAUCCCCAGGCUUAACCUGGGAACUGCGUCGGAUACUGGAUGGCUUGAAUUCGGGAGAGGGAUGCAGAAUUCCAGGUGUAGCGGUGAAAUGCGUAGAUAUCUGGAGGAAUACCGGUGGCGAAGGCGGCAUCCUGGACCGAGAUUGACACUAAAGCGCGAAAGCCAGGGGAGCAAACGGGAUUAGAUACCCCGGUAGUCCUGGCCCUAAACGAUGAAUGCUUGGUGUGGCGGGUAUCGAUCCCUGCCGUGCCGAAGCUAACGCAUUAAGCAGUCCGCCUGGGGAGUACGGUCGCAAGGCUG
rnacentral:rRNA from 1 species